AACGCGAAGAACCUUACCUACUCUUGAAUCCACGGAACCUGCUAGAAAUAGCGGGGUGCCUUCGGGAACCGUGAGACAGGUGCUGCAUGGCUGUCGUCAGCUCGUGUCGUGAGAUGUUGGGUUAAGUCCCGUAACGAGCGCAACCCUUGUCCUUAGUUACCAGCGAGUUAUGUCGGGGACUUUAAGGAGACUGCCGGUGAUAAACCGGAGGAAGGUGGGGAUGACGUCAAGUCCUCAUGGCCCUUACGAGUAGGGCUACACACGUGCUACAAUGGCCGGUACAAAGGGUUGCCAACCUGCAAAGGGGAGCCAAUCUCAAAAAGCCGGUCGUAGUCCGGAUUGGAGUCUGCAACUCGACUCCAUGAAGCUGGAAUCGCUAGUAAUCGUGGAUCAGCACGCCACGGUGAAUACGUUCCCGGGCCUUGUACACACCGUAGUAC
rnacentral:rRNA from 1 species